ACGGUUACCUUGUUACGACUUAGCCCCAGUCACCGAUUUCGCUCUAGGGCGCGCCUCGCGGCGACGCACUUCAAGCGCCCUCGGCUCCCAUGGCUUGACGGGCGGUGUGUACAAGGCCCGGGAACGUAUUCACCGCGCCAUGGCUGAUGCGCGAUUACUAGCGAAUCCAGCUUCACGGAGUCGGGUUGCAGACUCCGAUCCGAACUGAGAGUGGAUUUCGGGUUCCGCUCGGCGUCGCCGCCUGGCUUCCCGCUGUACCACCCAUUGUAACACGUGUGUCGCCCCGGACGUAAGGGCCGUGCUGAUUUGACGUCAUCCCCGCCUUCCUCGCGGCUUGCGCCGGCAGUCCGUGCAGAGUCCUCAGCGUUAUCUGUUAGCAACUGCACGCGGGGGUUGCGCUCGUUAUGGCACUUAAGCCGACACCUCACGGCACGAGCUGACGACAACCAUGCAGCACCUCGGGGAGUGUCCCGUGGGAAACAGGCGUCUCUGCCUGCGGCACUCCCCGUUUGAGCCCGGGUAAGGUUCCUCGCGUAUCAACGAAUUAAACCACAUGUUCC
rnacentral:rRNA from 1 species